UUUCCCCCAAAAUGGUGCCAAUUUCUUACCCUAAUCACCAAGAGAAAAGCCAGUAUGAGCUUGCUUCACUUGGGCUGAAGACGAUACCAGAUGCAUCUUUCAAUUUGGGAAUGCAGCCAGAAGUUACACCCCUUUGGAUGUAGAAAGUUGACUUAAGACAUCGACCUUCUGAUUAAGAAGGAGUAAGUAACGGGAAAUCAUCUUUGUGGC